GAAGAGGUGAGGGCAAACGGAAAAUGCCAUGGAAGGCACUGCCCAGCACGGCCAGGGCCCAGAACCCUCCUCACAGCCUUCAUUCAUCUGCAGCCAGGCCCUGUGCUGGGCCCUGGGGAUGCAAAGUUAAAUGCACUGUCACGCCUGCCCUCCAGGAGCUCCCAGUCCAGCCGGGGAGGCUCUACAAACAGACCAUCACGGUACAGGAUGAGGCUUUCUUGGACAGACCUCUAUGAGACGUGAGGUCAACGGGGGCGGAUCGGUAUUUCUACCUGGUUUGAGAAGGAAGACUGAUGCCCAAAAGGAAGUCGUGUUCUCACAUGAAAUGCACCAGAGCCCCGAGGACACACUCGUGAGAGAAAUCAUCAGGACGGGUUCUGCAGUUCAAGACAAGACAGCGGCCCCAGUCCCGGUCUGAGAGAGAAGCGAACAGUGCAGCGGGGAGGCGACGUGAGGCGAUGCUCAAUGACACGGGCAGGAGGGGGCCUGCCCGCCCUCCCCAGCCCGCUCCUUCUCGGGCCUGCUGACGUGUCCUCUGCAGCCCUUGGGGGCAGUAGCCCAUCUGGGGCAGGGCGCGUACUCUCCAAACCUUAGUUUCUUCUUCCUAUGAAAAGCCGGCCUUGUAGGGCUGUGGGGAGAGUGAACAUGUUACACAGGAAGAGCUCCUAACACAGUGCCUGGCACACAAUAACCACUCAAGAAAUGCUUUCAACAACAGUAACUAACAGCGGGGGCGCCGGCUGGCUCGGCGGGUAGAGCGUGCCGCUCUUAAUCUCAGGGUCGUGAGUUCAAGCCCCAAGCUGGGCGUAGAGUUUCCUUAAAAAAUCGUAACCGUGAAUACUUAUGUCAGGAUAAUUUUAAGCCCUUCACGUACAGGACAAAUCUAAUCCCUCACAGCCCUGUAUGGCAAACUCCCUGAUUGUCUCCACCUCACAGAGGAGGACACUGAGGCACAGGGAGGUUCUGUAAAUAGCCCAUGGUCUGGGAGCUGGUAGAUCAGGGAUUCUGACUCUGGCUCCAGAGGUUAGCUGUGAAUAAAUAAAUUAACUAAUUCAAAAGUU